rnacentral:lncRNA from 1 species
GCACAGUUGCGCAUUGAGGAAAUACAAUCUUCAUUUUGUCAAAACAAACAUCAUUUUGUCAAAACAAUUAGCUGAAUGCAAGUAUUUUGGAUGUUGGAGCUUGAAUUUGGGACCUUCUACAUGCAAAGCAUGUGUUCUGCUGCAACUCUUCACAGCUUCUUCCAGCCACUUACAAGAAAGGACUUCAUAGAGAACAAAAGAGGAAAUAUCCAGUUGAGGGGAAAUUUCAAUAGUGAGAAAAGCAUGAAGGGAAAGGGUUGAAAAGCUUCCCCCCCAGUUCUAUAGUCCCAAUUUACUUCGUCCACCACCCAGUGUAGCUGCUUUUAACUUUUAAAAUACAAUGGGAGAUCUGAUCAGAAAUCUCUGACUACCUUGUCUAGAUUAACCCUGAAAAACUUGCACUUGUUUGGCAGCAGUCAAUGUCCUUAUGUGAGAUUGAACAGAAGAAGCACAAUGGUUGGCAUCCAUCUGUCUCUGGAGACAAUGGAGGAAUGCACUUUUCAGGGUGAAGUCAAACUGUUGGAAGGUUACUGUGCCUGCUGUGGCUGUACAGACUGAUAUGGGAGAGACAUGUUUUGUUGCAGAUACAGAUAGUUACAAUAAAAAUAAAGCAAGGCCUUGAAGAUAAUCCCAAUUCACAUUUGCUCCAAAUGGGAGCAAAACUUUAAAUGUUUCAGUUUUAAGUUUA